UACGUAGGGGGCAAGCGUUGUCCGGAAUCAUUGGGCGUAAAGAGCGUGUAGGCGGCUCGAUAAGUCCGCUCUGAAAGCCCGGGGCUCAACCCCGGGAGGCGGGCGGAUACUGUCGAGCUAGAGUCCGGAAGAGGCGAGUGGAAUUCCUGGUGUAGCGGUGAAAUGCGUAGAUAUCGGGAGGAACACCAGUGGCGAAGGCGAUCAUCUGGGGUUGUUCUGACACUGAGGAGCGAAAGCUAGGGGAGCAAACGGG
rnacentral:rRNA from 1 species